GAUGAACGCUGACAGAAUGCUUAACACAUGCAAGUCAACUUGAACUUCGGUUUGGGUGGCGGACGGGUGAGUAACGCGCAAAGAACUUGCCUCACAGCUAGGGACAACAUUUGGAAACGAAUGCUAAUACCUGAUAUUAUGAUUUUAGGGCAUCCUAGAAUUAUGAAAGCUAUAUGCGCUGUGAGAGAGCUUUGCGUCCCAUUAGCUAGUUGGAGAGGUAACGGCUCACCAAGGCGAUGAUGGGUAGCCGGCCUGAGAGGGUGAACGGCCACAAGGGGACUGAGACACGGCCCUUACUCCUACGGGAGGCAGCAGUGGGGAAUAUUGGACAAUGGACCAAGAGUCUGAUCCAGCAAUUCUGUGUGCACGAUGAAGUUUUUCGGAAUGUAAAGUGCUUUCAGUUGGGAAGAAAAAAAUGACGGUACCAACAGAAGAAGUGACGGCUAAAUACGUG
rnacentral:rRNA from 1 species